rnacentral:tRNA from 1 species
GGUGGCCAAGUGGUAAGGUGUUGGUCUCGUAAACUGAAGAUCACGGGUUCGAACCCCGUCACCU